rnacentral:lncRNA from 1 species
CAACACUUGUUCUCCUGGCUGACAGAGGGACCAGAAAAAAUGGUAGCCAGAGGCCUUGCUAAGUGCUCGUAAAUUUGGGUUUGAUUUCAGCAAAUUCCAAAUUGCACAGUUUCCGAAUGGGGAUCUGCUGAGGUGAUCAACAUAUAAUCUCCACAGCUAUGGCUGAGAAGUGCAGUUAAGGCUCUCACUCUGGGACUCUUCAACAACUCUGCCAGAGUAUGAGGAAGG